GACCCCAUAGAGUCCCAUAGGACCCCUUUAAGCCCCCAUGGAACCCCAUAGGACCCCAUAGGGACCCCAUAAGACCCCAUAAAACCCCAUGGGGACCCCAUAAAGACCCCAUAGGGACCCCAUAAGGACCCCAUAGAGCCCCAUAAGACCUCAUAGAGCCCCAUAGGACCCCAUUGGACCCCAUAUAACCCCAUAAGGACCCCAUAGGACCCCAUAAAGACCACUUUAAGCCCCCAUAGAUCCUCAUAAGGACCCCAUAGAGCCCCAUAGGGCCCCAUAAGGACCCCAUAAGGACCCCAUAGAGCCCCAUAGGACCCCUUUAAGCCCCCAUAGGACCCCAUAAAGCCCCCAUAAGACCCCAUAGGACCUCAUAAAGACCACAUAGAGCCCCACAGAGCCUCGCAAGGACCCCAUAGGGACCCCAUAGAACCCCAUGGGGACCCCAUAAGAACCCCAUAAGGACCCCAUAGAACCCCAUAAGACCUCAUAGAGCCCCAUAGGACCCCAUUGGACCCCAUAAAACCCCAUAAGGACCCCAUAGGAGCCCAUAAGACCCCAUAGGACCCCAUAGGACCCCAUAAAGCCCCCAUAGAGUCCCAUAGGACCCCAUAGAACCCCUUUAAGCCCCCAUAGGACCCCAUAAAGCCCCCAUAGAUCCCCAUAAGGACCCCAUAAGGACCCUAUAGGACCCCUUUAAACCCCCAUAGGACCCCAUAAAGACCUCAUAGAGUCCCAUAGGACUCAUUUAAGCCCCCAAAGGACCCCAUAAGGACCCCAUAGAACCCCAUAAGACCCUUUUAAGCCCCCAUAAGGACCCCAUAGAGCCCCAUAGGACCCUAUAAAGACCCCAUAGGGCCCCAUAAGGACCCCAUAGGACCCCAUAAAGACCCCAUAAAGACCACUUGAAGCCCCCAUAGAACCCCAUAGGACCCCAUAGAGCCUCAUAAGGACCCCAUAGGACCCCAUAAGACCCCAUAAGGACCCCAUAAGACCCCAUAAGGACCCCAUAGGACCCCAUAAGACCCCAUAGAACUCCAUGAGACCCUUUUAAUCCCACAUAAGGACCCCAUAGAGCCUCAUAAGGACCCCAUAGGACCCCAUAAAGACCCCAUAGGACCCCAUAAGGGCCCCAUAGAGCCCCAUAGGGCCCCAUAAGGACCCCAUAAGGACCCCAUAGAGCCCCAUAGGACCCCUUUAAGCCCCCAUAAGGACCCCAUAA
ensembl:lncRNA